rnacentral:tRNA from 1 species
GUAAAGGUGGCUGAAUAAUAGGUGGUGGGUUGUAAUUCCAUUUAUGGGGUGUAAUUCCUCUCUUUACA